rnacentral:rRNA from 1 species
UACGGAAGGCAGCAGCGGGGAAUAUUGCACAAUGGGCGAAAGCCUGAUGCAGCUAUGCCGCGUGUAUGAAGAAGGCCUUAGGGUUGUAAAGUACUUUCAUCGGGGAGGAAAAACAAAACUAAUAAUUUUAUUUCUUGACGUUACCCGAAAAAGAAGCACCGGCUAACUCCGUGCCAGCAGCCGCGGUAAUACGGAGGGUGCUAGCGUUAAUCAGAAUUACUGGGCGUAAAGAGCACGUAGGUGGUUUUUUUAAGUUCAGAUGUGAAAUCCCUGGGCUUAACCUAGGAACUGCAUUUUGAAACUGAAAUACUAGAGUAUCGUAGAGGGAGGUAGAAUUCUAGGUGUAGCGGUGAAAUGCGUAGAUAUCUGGAGGAAUACCUGUGGCGAAAGCGGCCUCCUAAACGAAUACUGACACUGAGGUGCGAAAGCGUGGGGAGCAAACAGGAUUAGAUACC